rnacentral:misc_RNA from 1 species
AUACCGAAUGGAUGUGUUCAUAUGAAUUCUCCAUCUUAAAUCGGAUUACAAAGUGAUAAUUAUUUAAUGUGUCAUAAAUAAGUAGUGAUUGAUAUUUCAUUAUAUUUUCUGUGCACUAUUAUCCUGCAGUGUGCUAUUAAAACUUAUUUAUGAUAUUAAUCUGCUCCAAUAAUUAUCAUAAUAAUAUUAAAAAUAUUAUUCACGUUAAUAAAUAACAAGUCUAAUUCUACGUAUGUGAUGUGAUAUAAUUCAUUCAAAGAAUAAGCUAUUUUUAUCAUUAUUAUCAGCUUUUAUUCAUGACAAUUUGUAUUCAUUGAAUUCUAUUAUUCAUUCAAUUAAUUACUCAUAAAAAAAAAUAAAUUUUUUCUUCAUUCAAAUUUCCAUUUGUCAAUAAAAUUUUUCAUUGUUGUAGUUCGGUUAUUGUCUGAUGUAUCAGUUAAUGCUGGUAAUAAUGAUUUAGCGUGUUGACGUAUAGUGUUUACAAGCAUCCGUGGUUGCACGUGACAUGCACUGACACGCAGACAAUGCAAUGGAAUUUUGGUUUUGAAUUUUGUGCUGUAGCACAACGUGUGUGACACACCAAUGUGCGUGUUUAUCUUUUCUCUUUCCCUCUCACUCGUUUAUAAUCAAAGUACGUGUAAGUGGACUUUGUGAUCGCCAGGUUGUUGUGACGUUAAAUGCUUGACAAAGUGGAUGACCUGUAGUGAGUGUUGACUAAGUGAAGAGUGUCCUGGUAUAUUACUGAUGGGCAUUUAAAUCCUACGUCUAUCCUGUCGAAACGGAGUCAUCAAUGCUGCUCAUCAAUGCAAAUUGCACAUGCACUCCACGUAUAGGAUGCAAACGACAGCAUGUGGAAGUUGGCAAGCAACGGUGGAAUGCGCAAACGCAAAUCAGCUGCAGUCCAAUAGCUCGAGGCUAAAUCUACGCACAGGGCAAAACAAGGGCAGAAAGUGAUCGUAAAAUGCUGAAUCCUGAGACUGGUUGCUACACAGACUCCGUUCGAACAUGGUACGAAUACGUUAAUACAUGCACGCGCCAAUUUCCCUCGAGAUCGUCACCCUAAAC